rnacentral:lncRNA from 1 species
UUGCGGUAGGCUGCGUAGAGAAAGGCGCCAAGGCCGCCCUCACUGUUAAUCUCCCCCCCGUGAUGCGAGUGGUACAGUCCACCUCAAGUCUUGUUGUCCCAGAACUCCCGUCAUGCCUUGCUCCAUAGAACUGAGCCUGUCACUGCCUGUGGCGAUAUAGAUCCAGUUCUACUCUCUUACAAUAGCACUCGUUGGGAGUAAUUUAUGGGUAAAAUAAAGAACAACAUUCAGACAACAGGAGAAUUCCAGACAGGAAACAAUCAGGACCAGCUAACACCUCUCAACAAAGGAUUCCCCCAGAUCUGCUGACAGCACCGCAGCGGGUGAGGAAUAAGUUUCUCAAGGAGCAGAGGGACCUCGCUGCGACUCUAGGGAGACUUGAACACCAAAAGCGGAGCAGAUGCAGGCAACUGGAUGAGGAAAAAAGGCAUUUUCACCUUCUGAUGAUAAAGAAAUUAGCCCCCAAAGUCACCACUAGUUGUGGGUCCUCCUCUAUCGGAAAAGGAAACUUUCAAGCAGAGUUCUCGGAUGUCCAGUUUUCAUCUCUGGCAUUGAGCAAGAGCAGCUGGAAAAGCCUCGAGACCAAAUUGUCCACCGGACAAGAUGCCACCUUCCACGCAAGAGUCCGAAAUGAAUUUCCACCAAAGUUUUGCAAAGAACCUGGCUCUUCUUUCCCAAACGCUGUGCCAGCCGAUACAUACCAACACCUCCCUGGCAAGAGGCACCUCGCAAAAAGUGGAAGCGACUUGCCAUUCUUCCAUCACACCACAUCAUCCGUAACCCUUUGUGGAACUAACCAAGGAGAUUAA